rnacentral:rRNA from 1 species
UACGGAGGGUGCAAGCGUUGCUCGGAAUUAUUGGGCGUAAAGGGUAGGUAGGUGGUCUCAUUUGUCCGGGGUGAAAGCCUUGAGCUUAACUCAAGAAGUGCCCUGGAAACGGUGAGACUGGAGUACUGGAGAGGGUCGCGGAAUUCCCGGUGUAGCGGUGAAAUGCGCAGAUAUCGGGAAGAACACCUAUGGCGAAGGCAGCUCUCUGGGACGGUACUGACGCUGAGACGCGAAAGCGUGGGGAGCGAACAGG